AUUGAACGCUGGCGGCAGGCCUAACACAUGCAAGUCGAGCGGAGCGGCGGACGGGUGGGUAAUGACUAGGUAUCUGCCUGGUCGUGGGGGAGAACGUCCGGAAGCGGGCGCUAACACAGCACACUAUCAGAUGAGCCUGGGGGGGAUUAGCUAGCUGGUGGGGUAAAGGCCUACCAAGGCGACGAUCCGUAACUGGUCUGAGAGGAUGAUCAGUCACACUGGAACUGAGACACGGUCCAGACUCCUACGGGAGGCAGCAGUGGGGAAUAUUGGACAAUGGGCGAAAGCCUGAUGCAGCCAUGCCGCGUGUGUGAAGAAGGUCUUCGGAUUGUAAAGCACUUUAAGUUGGGAGGCGUUACCCGCAGAAUAAGCACCGGCUAACUUCGUGCCAGCAGCCGCGGUAAUAC
rnacentral:rRNA from 1 species